UGGGAGCCCGGAUUAAAUUUUUGCGGGGGGAAGGGGGGUCAAUUUUUUGUCGCUACGCUACUGAUUUAGUGUGCGUACAACAGUUAACAACUUUAAUCUUAUACAUUAACUUUAGUUAUAACUUAAUUAUUAAUGGUUUGAUUUAUAGAUUUUUAAAGCAAUACAAGAUUAAAUUUAGCAGAAGGCUAAACUUCUGCUCUGGAGAAAAAAAAGAAAGACAGCGAAAAAAAGAGACAAAAAAUUGUGUAUAUCUUGGUGUUGAUGAUUUAUCCUCAAUUUCUUAUAAUAAAACAAAAAAUAUUAUUAAACUUGAGGAUUUAUCUGUAACUCGAAACUCUUUACAGAAGUUCAAUGUUUGCUCUGAGAAGUUGAAUGAACAAAAUUUAUUAAAUGUUAUCAUUAAAGUACAUCAUUGAAGUACUUGGUAAACUACAAAACACAUCAAAUUCAGUUAUAAAAAUUUGAGUAACAAAGGUAUGCUAAUUAUUGUAUUGCCUGAAAGAGUGUCAUUGCUAUUAAAAGCAGUGAAGAAUUCAAGUACUCAGGAAGAAAAGAAAAUACGUAAGUAAAUGGUCAAUUAUUUAGCACAAAUCGGAGUUAAAGACAAAGGAGAUUGUAUAUUUUAUUUGCUAAGAAUAGUUUUUUAAAAUGGCCUAGUUGUAAAAUUAAACUAUACAGGGAGAGGGCAAAAAAUUGGAAUAGAAAAAAUGUUGAUUGCAUAUGCUGCUAUUGAAAAAGUCAAAUAAGCAUGGCUUAUGUAGACAUGUGAUAGAGAUAGUGGAAGAAAAAAUAAUAAUCGUGGGCACCAAAUAUCAUAACCUAAACACUAUUCAAUAACAAGUAGCUCAGCCAAUAUCGAAACUACUCUAAAUUUUAUAGUGAAUUUUUUUAUUUAAAACUCAAUGUGUCAGUUUUUGGUUUAAGUUUUGUGUUUGCAAUAUGUAUAUUUAAC